GGGGGUAUAGCUCAGUUGGUAGAGCAUCGCGUUUGCAACGCGAGGGUCACCGGUUCGAGUCCGAUUACCUCCA
rnacentral:tRNA from 2 species